GGCAUCCCACGCAGCCCAACCAGAAGGAUCUACAAAUAGAAUAUACAACUAUGGCGGGGGGGGGGAGAUUGGCAACAGAUGUUAGCUUAGGGCCAGUCUUUAAAAAAAAAAAAAGAAAAACAUUUUUAAAAAGUUUAUUUCUAAUUUUCUAGUGAAUGUUUUCCUGAUGACUGAUCUAUGUCCCAGAAUGACUCUUUCAGUGAGAUGUCAAACAUUUCACAUAAUAGUAUUUUCCAGUUUAUUUAUUAUUAACGUAAGCAUGACUAAACUGAUAUACUAUUUUGCAACUUCUUUUGAGUGACAUUAAUGACUUGGAAAUAUUUUCCCUUUUAAUAAAAUAUUUAAUUGCUGAAUCAUUUGGUGUGAUUUUAUUACUUUGAAACUCUUUGUAUGGUAGCCAACCUCUUUAAUGAAAUUAGAGAAAUGGAAUUAAAUACUCAUGUCCACAUACACUUUUCAGUAGAGUUUCUUAUAUAAAAUUGAGGAGAGGGAAACCUCUAACAUGAAUUUGAAGUAGUUCUGUUACUCCUUUGAUUUUAUUUUUUCUUGCCUUAGGAGUCUGGAAUCCUUCAAAGAAUUGUCCAGGGGAUGGUAAGACCAAUGAUUGAUUAGCUUCUUAUCUGUGACAAUCCCCAUCUAACCGUGACCUAAACCCAGAGACCCCUGCCAGCUCAGCAGCUCACAGUUCUGGCAGCCUGACUUGUGGUAGGUUAUGCGGAGAGCAAUAGAAAGAGCUUCUCCUCCCUCAGCUCUACUCAGGAUCUUCUGGGAGUGAUGCAUGUGGCCAUAAUUAUAUUUAAACGUGACUGUUCUGUUUCUGAAGAAAGCAAAUCAAACCUGUAAUCAGGAAACUGGUCCACAGAUUACAGCACAACCACGUGCGUGAGCCUGGAAGACAAGUCUCCUUGCUCUUCUCUGAGGGUGGAAGGGUUUCCUCAAUCGGAAGGGAGAUACAGUUCAAAGCAGGAAAGCGAAGACCGUUUUAUGACUCCGACGGAAAAACUCUCUUCGUUCUGAAAAAACCGAAGGCGUCUAAAGACAGGAUACGCUCAAAUAAAUCUUCAGCCAGCAACAGGAUCUGUAACCAACCUGUCCUGCCUCUUCCCCAGCGCCCGCUGAGUGCUUGCAACCCUGUUCCCAGUUCACCCAGCGGGCGCGUGCGGAGUCGGCCCUCGGCUCGCGGGCGGGGGAAGGCUCCCAGGGCGCCCGCUAAAUAGCAAACAGAUGCCGGACACGCCGGAGAUCUCACGGACCAGGGCACCGCCGCGGAGACGAGUUCCAGCCCGGAGGCUUCCAAGGGAAAAGGCUGGCGGCCGCCAGACUGUCUUAGUCUCUUUGCUUGAAACGGGCUAGUUUUGAAAGCAGGGCGACCUUUUUCCCCGGGCAGGAGUGCAGAGAGCCAGAUCCGGCUCCAGGACUGGAAACCGCAUCCCAGCUGCCGAGGAGCUAAGUGGCGGCUUCCCGCCUGGCCCCUUCCCGAGGUAAAGCGGCCGUUUCCUUUCCUGCACCGGGGAGACCCAGACGCCACGCUCCCUGGCUUUAUGUCGCCCCCUCCUCGAGCCCCACUUCCCAAGCUCUGAAAGGCUCCAGGACUCGCGACCUUGUUUCCCUCCUCGCGCUUGCUGCCUGGGUCGCGUGAGUCCCGAGCUUCUUCGGGAAUUUAAGGCCAAAGGUUUGGCUCUGAAAGUUAGUUUUGACUGCGCCGCUGUCCCUCCCAGGGUCAUUUCAGAGCGCGUCCCCAAAAGUCCUGGUGCUUAAGCCCCCACCGCACCCCCUAAAGCACGAAUCCCCGGGGUGGUGGCCAGCAGGUGUGCUGCCGGCAGCUCAUCACGGCAGUCGAGGAGCUGAGGAUGCUCUGUACCUGCCUCUUUUCCGACAACACUUGAAACCGCCCCGGGGCACACCCAACACAUCCCAUGAAUCCAAAUAUCCCUGACACAGGUGUCCGAAUUCGAGUUUGGUCCGACCCUCCCCUCCCCGCGGCGACGCGGGGAGCCUCUUCUGCAAGGUCUUUUCCUUCGGACCCGAAGGGGCGCGCGCUUCGGUGCGCUGGGUCCACCUCUUCCCUAGGC
rnacentral:lncRNA from 1 species